ACUUCCUGAGUACCUUGCCUGCCUCCUUGAAGCUUCCUCUCAUCGGUGUGAGGUGACUAUGCAACAUGCAAAGUAGAAGUCUCAUCUCCUCUUCACAGGACAUAAGAAAAUAACAAAGGGGGGAUCCUGGCAGGAACCCUUUGAAGGGCUACUAAUGGUCAGGAUGGGUGGGUUAGGUUCUCUACUUGGAGUAUCCUGUCUCAACUGCCUGGAUCCUGAAAGAAAAACACAGUUUAAAAAUCAUAAAGUUUAAGUAAAAGGCAGAGGGGAGGGUAAUGUCGCAGGACUGAGGACUAGGUUGGGACUUACUACUUACCAUCAAAGAAAACUGAGAAGUUACCAGUAAGCCAGAGAAAAUGUAAGGCAGGGGUAACUAAACACUGAAAAAUACUUAGACCUUUUGUACAAAUUUAUAAAAAAUAUUAAACAGUCAAACCUUGCUUGUUUCUCAGUAACUUCGGUGUUAGAAAUACCAUUCAAAACAAACCAAAAAAGGAAGAAAAGAUGUUUCCUCAUUACCAUUUGUGUGUAAAAAGUAAAUGGUAAAUACAUCGAACUAAAGUCGGUAAAAAAUCGGUCAAGAGAGGGGACUGGAAAACACAUAUCAGAGCUUAUAUCCUGGUUUACUAGUCCUUAAGAGGUUUUAAGACCAUGACCUCUAUGAUUUAAAAAUAAAAAACUAAAAUAAAAGUCUAUGGAAAUCCUGGAUAAGUGAUGUAACUUUUCAAAGUCUACAUAGGAUUUCUGUGCUCUGGGUAUGGAGGGCCAUGUUCCCCAGUUCCUUUGCUGCCCUUUGCCUGGGUGGACACCUCGGCUCAGCCUCCUCUCUUCUUCUCUUCUUGAGGGGUGUGUAUGCAGUCCACUUUUGAGGCAGAGGGAAAUCUCCGAGGACAAAUUAACACACUGCAGGAAACUCCAGCAGAAGUCUAAUGGCACCUGAAAAAAUAAAAAGAGGAGAUCAGUUAAGAUAUUCUCACUGUAUAUAUUAUUUUAAAAGACUUUGUGUGUACCUGGUCA